rnacentral:rRNA from 1 species
UACGUAGGGGGCAAGCGUUGUCCGGAAUCAUUGGGCGUAAAGAGCGCGUAGGCGGUCCGGUAAGUCCGCUCUGAAAGUCCGGGGCUCAACCCCGGGAGGCGGGCGGAUACUGUCGGGCUAGAGUCCGGAAGAGGCGAGUGGAAUUCCUGGUGUAGCGGUGAAAUGCGCAGAUAUCGGGAGGAACACCAGUGGCGAAGGCGACUUCCUGGCCUGUUCUUGACGCUGAGGCGCGAAAGCUAGGGGAGCAACGGG